rnacentral:lncRNA from 1 species
UGAGUAGGGCAGAGAAGACGAAGGAAAAGAGCUAGGUUGGUUGUUAGAGGUGGUGCAUGGUAGUGUCGAGGUGAGGAUGGGUGAUUGACUAUGGAUCAAUCUAUCACAAGAUAGUGCAAAGUUGCAGUUUAAUAAGCAAUUCAACUUAUUGUGCAAUUUAAGUGGUAGGCAUCUAAGUAUAUAGGUUGACUUAUACUUGAAGCUUGUGUUGCAUACAACUCCACUUAUCGAACUCCAAAUAGUCUAAUAUUUGCAUUAUAGAAAUGAAAAGUCAUUAGACACUUGCACAAAAAAAGGAGGCCUAUCUAUUGAUCUACUCACCAACUAUAAGUACCAUGACCGGCUCGCGG